rnacentral:rRNA from 1 species
AGAGUUUGAUCCUAGCUCAGGAUGAAUGCUGGCGGCAUGCUUACCACAUGCAAGUCUGGCGGACGGGUGAGUAACGCGUAAGAACUUGCCCUUCAGAGGGGAAAAACGGCUGGAAACGGCUGCUAAUACCCCGUAGACUGAGGAGCAAAAGGUGGAAUCCGCCCAAGGAGGGGCUUGCGUCUGAUUAGCUAGUUGGUGAGGUAAUAGCUUUCCAAGGCAAUGAUCAGUAGCUGGUCCAAGAGGAUGAUUAGCCACACUGGGACUGAGACACGGCCCGGACUCCUACGGGAGGCAGCAGUGAGGAAUUUUUCGCAAUGGGCGAAAGCCUGACGAAGCAAUGCCCCAUGGUGGCAGAAGGCCAACUGGUCGUAAACUUAUUUUCCCGGAGAAGAAGCGAUGACGGUAUCUGGGGAAUAAGCACCAGCUAACUCUGUGCCAGCAGCCAUGGUAUGACAGAGGAUGCAAGCGUUAUCUAGAAUGCUUAGGCGUAAAGUGUCUGUAGGUGGCUUUUUAAGUCCCCCGUCAAAUCCCAGGGCUCAACCCCGGACAAGCGGUGGAAACUGACAAGCUGGAGUACGGUAGGGGUAGAGGGAAUUUCCGGUGGAGCGAUUAAAUGUGUAGAGAUCAGAAAGAAUGCCAACGGCGAAAGCACUCUGCUGGACCGAUACUAACACUUAGAGACGAAAGCUAGGGGAGCGAAUGGGAUUAGGUACCCCAGUAGUCCUAGCCGUAAACGAUGGAUACUAAGCGCUGUGCGUAUCGACCCGCACUGUGUUGUAGCUAACGCGCUAAGUAUCCCGUCUGGGGAGUACGUUCGUAAGAAUGAAACUCAAAGGAAUUGACAGGGGCCCGCACAAGCGGUGGAGCAUGUGGUUUAAUUCGAUGCAAAGUGAAGAACCUUACCAGGGCUUGACAUGCUCGAAUCCUCUUAAAAGAGAGGGGUGGCUUCAGGAACGCAGACAUAGGUGCUGCAUGGCUGUUGUCAAUUCGUGUCGUAAGGUUUUGGGUUAAGUCCCGCAACGAGCGUAACCCUCGUGUUUAGUUGUCAACGUUGAGUUUGGAACCUUGAACAAACUGCUGGUGUUAAGCUGGAGGAAGGCGAGGAUGACGUCAAGUCAUCAUUCCCCUUAUGCCCUGGGCGACACAUGUGCUACAAUGGCCGGGAAUUGAAUUAAAUGACAAAGACAUUGUUGAGAAAAGGAUGGAUUUUCCCCGAUGAAAUGAACAUUGGAAAAUAAAAAAUACGCAUGUUUGAUGAAAUGGUUGUUGCUAUCUGCUCUAAUAUCGAAUCAUUGGUUUGAUGAGCAUUCUCAAUAUUAUGCCUUGAAGAGGACUCGAACCUCCAUGCUCUUUA